GACGAACGCUGGCGGCGUGGAUUAGGCAUGCAAGUCGAACGGUAUCAUCCUUUCGGGGGUGAGAGAGUGGCGAACUGGUGAGUAACACGUAGGUUAUCUACCCUCAAGACGGGGACAACCCAGGGAAACUUGGGCUAAUACCGGAUGUGAGCAACUUUUAGUUGUUUGAAAGGUGGCGUAAGCUGUCGCUGGGGAUGAGCCUGCGUCCUAUUAGUUAGUUGGUGAGGUAACGGCUCACCUAGGCAAUGAUAGGUAGGCGGCCUUAACGGGUGGUCGCCCACACUGGGAUUGAGAUACGGCCCAGACUCCUACGGGAGGCAGCAGUCGAGAAUAGUCUACAAUGGUCGGAAGACUGAUAGUGCGACGCCGCGUGAACGAUGAAUCCCUUCGGGGUGUAAAGUUCUUUUAUAUGUGAGCAGUGCUUCUUAUAUUAACAGUAUGGGGAAGAGAUAUUAGCAUAUGAAUAAGCAACGGCUAACUCCGUGCCAGCAGCCGCGGUAA
rnacentral:rRNA from 1 species